GAUAAAUCGUUAAGCAAGAGGAGUACACAUUAUUGAUUCUUUCCAGAGAGCCGGGGAAGGUGAGAGCCCGGUAAGAGGAAAUUUGUGGAAUGGACUUGCGAGAUGCAGCUUGAAAGCAAAAAGCGAUCAUGCUUUGUGUUUAGUAUGGCUGCACGGAGUUCCACCGUUAAAAGGAUAGGAUAUCGGACGAAUGAGUCCUGUAUCUGAAAGAGGAAACAGGUAACAGCCUGUUUCAAACGGAGGUGGCACCGCGGUUUAAGAAUCGCCCUCUAU
rnacentral:ncRNA from 1 species